GCGAAUCAUGUGUGCUCUGCCGACUUCCUGGCCGAGCUGAAAAAUAAGGUUGAGCGGUGCACCACUCCGGUGGUGGUGGCCGGGGACUUCAACCUCAUUAGGUGGGCUUCAGAUAAAAGCUCCACUAAUGUUGAUCGUGUCCGCAUGCGUCUAUUUAACGAUUGCAUUGCGGACCUUGCUCUUCGUGAGAUAGCCCGCAUAGGGGCUAGGUUCACGUGGACGAAUAAGCAGGUGAACCCCAUCUGGAGUGUUUUGGAUCGGGUAUUUGUAUCAGCUCAGUGGGAAGUAAUGUUCCCGUUGUGCUCCCUCAAG
rnacentral:rRNA from 1 species